rnacentral:rRNA from 1 species
UUUGAACGCUGGCGGUUGGCUUAACACAUGCAAGUCGAGCGGGGGAAGGUAGCUUGCUACCGGACCUAGCGGCGGACGGGUGAGUAAUGCUUAGGAAUCUGCCUAUUAGUGGGGGACAACAUCUCGAAAGGGAUGCUAAUACCGCAUACGUCCUACGGGAGAAAGCAGGGGAUCUUCGGACCUUGCGCUAAUAGAUGAGCCUAAGUCGGAUUAGCUAGUUGGUGGGGUAAAGGCCUACCAAGGCGACGAUCUGUAGCGGGUCUGAGAGGAUGAUCCGCCACACUGGGACUGAGACACGGCCCAGACUCCUACGGGAGGCAGCAGUGGGGAAUAUUGGACAAUGGGGGGAACCCUGAUCCAGCCAUGCCGCGUGUGUGAAGAAGGCCUUAUGGUUGUAAAGCACUUUAAGCGAGGAGGAGGCUACUUUAGUUAAUACCUAGAGAUAGUGGUCGUUACUCGCAGAAUAAGCACCGGCUAACUCUGUGCCAGCAGCCGCCGUAA